AUCUUUGCGCUUGGGGCAAUGACGCAGCUAGUGAGGUUCUAAUCGAGGCGCGUCUAUUGCUGGUUGAAAACUAUUUCCAAACCCCCUCUUCGUCCCGAGCUUGACUUGGGCUGUUGAGAAUUUCUGGAAGAGCUCCCUCUUGUUAGGGAAGCU